rnacentral:rRNA from 1 species
CCUACGGGAGGCAGCAGUGGGGAAUAUUCGACAAUGGGCGAAAGCCUGAUCCAGCAACGCCGCGUGAAUGAAGACGGCCUUCGGAUUGUAAAACUCUGUUGAUAGAGAAGAAAAGUCGUGCGCGUAUCUCUUUUCGUUUCUACUUUAUCUAACCAGAUCGGCACCGCUAAUUCCGUGCCAGCAGCCGCGGUAAUACGUAGGUGGCUAGCGUUGUCCGGAUUUAUUGGGAGUAAAGGGAACGUAGGCGGUCUGUUAAGUCUGAUGUGAAAGCCUUCGGCUGAACCGGAGUAGUGCAUUUGAAACUGGGAGUCUUGAGUGCAGGAGAGGUAGGUGGAAUUCGUGGUGUAGCGGUGAAAUGCGUAGAUAUAAGGAAGAACACCAGUGGCGAAGGCGGCUCACUGGUCUGCAACUGACGCUGAGGUUCGAAAGCGUGGGUAGCAAACAGGAUUAGAUACCCUUGUAGUC